rnacentral:rRNA from 1 species
AUACGGAGGGUCUAAGCGUUAUCCGGAAUCAUUGGGUUUAAAGGGUCCGUAGGCGGAUUAAUAAGUCAGGGGUGAAAUCCCACAGCUCAACUGUGGAACUGCCUUUGAAACUGUUAGUCUUGAGUUAUAGUGAAGUAGAUGGAAUGUGUAGUGUAGCGGUGAAAUGCUUAGAUAUUACACAGAACACCGAUUGCGAAGGCAGUCUACUAAUUAUAUUCUGACGCUGAGGGACGAAAGCGUGGGGAGCGAACAGGAUUAGAUACCCCAGUAGUCC